CACUCCGAGGCUCAGGGAGCAAGUGCCUGGCAUGGGGGGUAAAAGUUGGCUUUUUUUUUACUCCUUGGUCUUUUGCGCCCUUCUCCCUCUCCCCAGAAGGGAAGACCCAUUUAAACUAUUUUAGACGCAAUCAACCAAGAAUCACCAUGUGGAAUUGAGCGGCAGUUUUAAAUGUGUUGAGCAGGGGAGAGGAAUGAUGAGAAAAACAUUUUUUUUUUUUUUUUUGGAGACGCCGAAAGAAGCCUGUUUGUGUGCUGCGGCCGUGCUGUGACUUUGGAUCUUGUCUUUCAGCCGGCGCCUCGGUUCCUGCCCAGCUGGAUUUGGGGGGCAGCAUUGCCUGGCGCAGGGAGAUCAAAUGAGACUGCAAAGAAGCAUAAAAUGAAUAGACAAUCCAACCAACCAAAGAUGAAUUGUUGGCUAACGCUGCCGGAGAUUACUUGCUGAAAGGAAAAAGAAAAGUUCGGAAUAAACUCUGAAGGCAACAGAUCUCGUUUGGAUGUUUUAGCCGCGCACACACACAAACAGAAACCAGGUCAUAUUUACAUAAAAGGAGGAAUCUUAAGCGCGGCAAGUAUCCUGGACGACCACUCUUCGGUACUGCCAGAAAGGAUCAGGACCUGGAGUCUGGCAAGAGGAAGACAGAGGCCUGUGUGGGAAGCGAGUUGUUAUCUUUGGUUAUCUAGCUGUAUGAGUGUAUUGGUCUUCAUAAAGCUAGAUAACCGAAAGUAAAAACUCCUUCAAGAUCGCCGGGGAGCGUGUGAGAAUGAAAGACUACAGCCGAGAGACAGUAAAAACCAGAAAGGUCAGGAAUACUUAUUGAAUCUAACUUUGUUUUUGUUUUGUUUUUUUCCUUAUGAUUAAAGGUGGGAUGAGAGAAAAUUAAAUGACACACACAUGCUAAAAUAUCAAGGUUCCAGAUAUGUCUUGAGAGGGGUUGUUGCAGCUGCAAAGGAGAAGUGUAUAGUGAUAAUGAGUAAAGAUGCAUGUGCAGUUUGUUCUAUUUUAAGGCAAAAGUUAUAUCAGGGAUUUUUUUCUUAGAAAGGUGUUGCAGAGAUGUCUGGUACCUAGUUUAAAAAUGAUUCCAUAAUAUGUAGACUUGGGCAGUUCCUUUGGGAGGCACCUCCCUCUCAAAAUUUGAAGAUUGUGCUUGGAAAUUACUUUACAUGUAUUUGGGCUGUAUGUCAAUUUGUACGAAAUUAGACUUUCAGAAAAGUUUAUACUGGAAGGUUAAUAAUUUGUAUCUACUGAGGACUUAGAGCUAGCAGGCAAAAUGAAAAAAAAAAAAAAAAAA
rnacentral:lncRNA from 1 species